rnacentral:rRNA from 1 species
GUGAGGAAUAUUGCGCAAUGGGGGCAACCCUGACGCAGCAACGCCGCGUGGGUGAAGAAGGCCUUCGGGUUGUAAAGCCCUGUCGGGUGGGAAGAAACGUCCAUGGCUAAUAUCCAUGGAUCUGACGGUACCACCGAAGGAAGCACCGGCUAACUCCGUGCCAGCAGCCGCGGUAAGACGGAGGGUGCAAGCGUUGUUCGGAAUCACUGGGCGUAAAGCGGGUGUAGGCGGUUUGGUAAGUCGAAUGUGAAAGCCCAGGGCUCAACCCUGGAAGUGCAUUCGAAACUGCCAUACUUGAGUACGGGAGAGGGAAGUGGAAUUCCUGGUGUAGAGGUGAAAUUCGUAGAUAUCAGGAGGAACACCUGUGGCGAAGGCGGCUUCCUGGACCGAUACUGACGCUGAGACCCGAAAGCGUGGGGAGCAAACAGGAUUAGAUACCCUAGUAGUCC